GACGAACGCUGGCGGCGUGCUUAACACAUGCAAGUCGAACGGUGAAGCUCCAGCUUGCUGGAGUGGAUCAGUGGCGAACGGGUGAGUAACACGUGAGCAACCUGCCCCUGACUCUGGAAUAAGCGCUGGAAACGGCGUCUAAUACUGGAUACGAGAAGGGUCCGCAUGGGCACUUUCUGGAAAGUUUGUCGGUUGGGGAUGGGCUCGCGGCCUAUCAGCUUGUUGGUGAGGUAGUGGCUCACCAAGGCGACGACGGGUAGCCGGCCUGAGAGGGCGACCGGCCACACUGGGACUGAGACACGGCCCAGACUCCUACGGGAGGCAGCAGUGGGGAAUAUUGCACAAUGGGCGGAAGCCUGAUGCAGCGACGCCGCGUGCGGGAUGACGGCCUUCGGGUUGUAAACCUCUUUCAGCAGGGAAGAAGCGAAAGUGACGGUACCUGCAGAAGAAGCACCGGCUAACUACGUG
rnacentral:rRNA from 1 species